GCCUGGGUGGCUCAGUCGGUUGGGCGUCUGACUUCAGCUCAGGUCAGGAUCUCACGGUCCGUGAGUUCGAGCCCCGCGUCGGGCU
rfam:Felis catus isolate Cinnamon breed Abyssinian chromosome D2, whole genome shotgun sequence.